GACGAACGCUGGCGGCGUGCUUAACACAUGCAAGUCGAACGGAAAGGCCCUGCUUUUGUGGGGUGCUCGAGUGGCGAACGGGUGAGUAACGCGUGAGUAACCUGCCCUUGACUUUGGGAUAACUUCAGGAAACUGGGGCUAAUACCGGAUAGGAGCUCCUGCUGCAUGGUGGGGGUUGGAAAGUUUCGGCGGUUGGGGAUGGGCUCGCGGCUUAUCAGCUUGUUGGUGGGGUAGUGGCUUACCAAGGCUUUGACGGGUAGCCGGCCUGAGAGGGUGACCGGCCACAUUGGGACUGAGAUACGGCCCAGACUCCUACGGGAGGCAGCAGUGGGGAAUAUUGCACAAUGGGCGGAAGCCUGAUGCAGCAACGCCGCGUGCGGGAUGACGGCCUUCGGGUUGUAAACCGCUUUCGCCUGUGACGAAGCGUGAGUGACGGUAAUGGGUAAAGAAGCACCGGCUAACUACGUG
rnacentral:rRNA from 1 species